rnacentral:rRNA from 1 species
ACUAGUGAUUACUCCUACGGAGGCAGCAGUGGGGAAUUUUGGACAAUGGGCGCAAGCCUGAUCCAGCCAUGCCGCGUGAGUGAAGAAGGCCUUCGGGUUGUAAAGCUCUUUCGGCCGGGAAGAAAUCGUGGUCUCUAACAUAGGCCAUGGAUGACGGUACCGGACUAAGAAGCACCGGCUAACUACGUGCCAGCAGCCGCGGUAAUAAUCCCGCG